rnacentral:rRNA from 1 species
AGUGAACGCUGGCGGUAGGCCUAACACAUGCAAGUCGAACGGCAGCACAGUAAGAGCUUGCUCUUACGGGUGGCGAGUGGCGGACGGGUGAGGAAUACAUCGGCAUCUACUUUUUCGUGGGGGAUAACGUAGGGAAACUUACGCUAAUACCGCAUACGACCUACGGGUGAAAGCAGGGGAUCUUCGGACCUUGCGCGAUUGAAUGAGCCGAUGUCGGAUUAGCUAGUUGGCGGGGUAAAGGCCCACCAAGGCGACGAUGCGUAGCUGGUCUGAGAGGAUGAUCAGCCACACUGGAACUGAGACACGGUCCAGACUCCUACGGUAGGCAGCAGUGGGGAAUAUUGGACAAUGGGCGCAAGCCUGAUCCAGCCAUACCGCGUGGGUGAAGAAGGCCUUCGGGUUGUAAAGCCCUUUUGUUGGGAAAGAAAAGCAGCAGGUUAAUACCCCGCUGUUCUGACGGUACCCAAAGAAUAAGCACCGGCUAACUUCGUG